rnacentral:rRNA from 1 species
UACGUAGGGUGCGAGCGUUGUCCGGAAUUACUGGGCGUAAAGGGCUCGUAGGUGGCCAACUAAGUCGGACGUGAAAUCCCUCGGCUUAACCGGGGAACUGCGUCCGAUACUGGUUGGCUUGAGUUUGGGAGAGGGAUGCGGAAUUCCAGGUGUAGCGGUGAAAUGCGCAGAUAUCAGGAGGAACACCGGUGGCGAAGGCGGGUCUCUGGGCCGAUACUGACGCUGAGGAGCGAAAGCGUGGGGAGCGAACAGG